AGAAUCUCUGACGCCUAUUGGGGAAGGUUUCCUGGGCAAGGUUCGUCCACCCAGGGUUAGUCGGGUCCUAAGACGAGGCCGAAAGGCGUAGCCGAUGGACAACAGGUUAAUAUUCCUGUACUUUCUAUAAAUGUGAUGGAGUGACGGGGGAGGAUAGUACUACCACUUAUUGGAUUGUGGGGUAAAUAACAACUGGGUUAUGUAGGCAAAUCCGCAUAAUUUUAACCGGGAGUUAUGAUGCAUAGUGAAAGGGCGACCAAGUAGCGAAUUGGAUGAUUCCAUACCUCUUAAAAAAGCUUCUAACAUAAAGUUUAUAUGAAACCCGUACCAAGAACGGACACACGUCCCCAAGAUGAGUAUUCUAAGGCGAGCGAGAAAACCAAUGUCAAGGAACUCUGCAAAUUCAUCCCGUAAGUUCGCAAGAAGGGAUGCCCACCCUAAAAAGUGGGCCGCAGUGAAUAGUAAGGGGGAACUGUUUAUCAAAAACACAGCUCUAUGCUAAGUCGUAAGACGAUGUAUAUGGGGUGACUCCUGCCCAGUGCCCGAAGGUUAAGCAAAGGUGUUAGCAUUUGCGAAGCAUUGAUGUGAAGCCCGGGUGAACGGCGGCCGUAACUAUAACGGUCCUAAGGUAGCGAAAUUCCUUGUCGGCUAAAUACUGACCUGCACGAAAGGAGUAAUUAUCUCUUAACUGUCUCGACAUUGGACUCGGUGAAAUUAUGGUUCCGGCGAAGACGCCGGAGACCCGCAUCUAGACGAAAAGACCCCGUGGAGCUUUACUAUAACUUCAUAUUGGAGUUUGAUUUAACUUGUGUAGGAUAGGUGGGAGACUAUGAUGCUUAAACGCUAGUUUAAGAAGAGUCGCCGUUGAAAUACCACCCUUGUUAAAUUGAACUUCUAACUUGUUACCAUUACCUGGUAAGAGGACAGUGUGUGGUGGGUAGUUUGACUGGGGCGGUCGCCUCCUAAAAGGUAACGGAGGCGUUCAAAGUUACACUCAAUACGGUCAGAAACCGUAUCAGAGAGCAUAAAGGUAGAAGUGUGAUUGACUGUGAGACCUACAAGUCGAGCAGGUGCGAAAGCAGGACUUAGUGAUCCGGCGGUUCUUUGUGGAAAGGCCGUCGCUCAACGGAUAAAAGCUACCCCGGGGAUAACAGGCUUAUCUUUCCCAAGAGAUCACAUCGACGGGAAGGUUUGGCACCUCGAUGUCGGCUCAUCGCAUCCUGGAGCUGGAGUCGGUUCCAAGGGUUGGGCUGUUCGCCCAUUAAAGCGGUACGCGAGCUGGGUUCAAAACGUCGUGAGACAGUUUGGUUCCUAUCUGAUGUGGGCGUUGGAAUAUUGAUGAGAGCUACUCUUAGUACGAGAGGACCGGAGUGGACGUACCGAUGGUGUUCCAGUUGUUUUGCCAAAAGCAUAGCUGGGUAGCCAAGUACGGCAGGGAUAACCGCUGAAAGCAUCUAAGCGGGAAGCCCCCUCAAAGAUGAGUAUUCCCUAUUAAAUUCCUUAUAGACUAUGAGGUUGAUAGGCUGGAGGUGUAAGUAUAGCAAUAUAUUCAGCUGACCAGUACUAAUAAAUUGAUUGGUUUAAUAGU
rnacentral:rRNA from 2 species